ACUGCUCAGUAACACGUGGACAACCUGCCCUUAGGUUGGGUAUAAACCCGGGAAACUGGGUAUAAUACCCGAUAGGUCUCGAUUGCUGGAAUGCAUCGAGAUUUAAAGCUCCGGCGCCUAAGGAUGGGUCUGCGGCCUAUCAGGUAGUAGUGGGUGUAGCGUACCUACUAGCCUACGACGGGUACGGGUUGUGAGAGCAAGAGCCCGGAGAUGGAUUCUGAGACACGAAUCCAGGCCCUACGGGGUGCAGCAGGCGCGAAAACUUUACAAUGCUGGCAACAGCGAUAAGGGAACCUCGAGUGCCAGGUUACAAAUCUGGCUGUCGAGAUGCCUAAAAAGCAUUUCAUAGCAAGGGCCGGGCAAGACCGGUGCCAGCCGCCGCGGUAACACCGGCGGCUCGAGUGGUAACCGUUAUUAUUGGGUCUAAAGGGUCUGUAGCCGGCCGGAUAAGUCUCUUGAGAAAUCUGGCAGCUUAACUGUCAGGCUUUCAGGAGUUACUGUCUGGCUCGAGGCCGGGAGAGGUGAGAGGUACUUCAGGGGUAGGGGUGAAAUCUUGUAAUCCUUGAAGGACCACCAGUGGCGAAGGCGUCUCACCAGAACGGACCUGACGGCAAGGGACGAAAGCUAGGGGCACGAACCGGAUUAGAUACCCGGGUAGUCCUAGCCGUAAACGAUACUCGCUAGGUGUCGGCCACGGUGCGACCGUUGUCGGUGCCGUAGGGAAGCCGUGAAGCGAGCCACCUGGGAAGUACGGCCGCAAGGCUGAAACUUAAAGGAAUUGGCGGGGGAGCAC
rnacentral:rRNA from 1 species